rnacentral:rRNA from 1 species
UACGUAGGGUGCGAGCGUUGUCCGGAAUUAUUGGGCGUAAAGAGCUUGUAGGCGGUCUGUCGCGUCUGCUGUGAAAAUCCGGGGCUCAACCCCGGACUUGCAGUGGGUACGGGCAGACUAGAGUGUGGUAGGGGAGACUGGAAUUCCUGGUGUAGCGGUGAAAUGCGCAGAUAUCAGGAGGAACACCAAUGGCGAAGGCAGCUCGCUGGGACGGUAUUGACGCUGAGACGCGAAAGCGUGGGGAGCAAACAGG